rnacentral:tRNA from 1 species
GUUUUUGUAGUUGAAUACAACAGUGGUUUUUCGAAUCGCAGGUCUUGGUUAAAGUCCAGGCAAGAAUU